UCUAACAUGGCUUAGGUCCCUUCCUCUUCACUGUGUGCCUCUCGUCAAGCAAGCCUCAUCUGUCAUCCAAGGCAGUCCAGUGCUUAAAAAUACCUGUCCACCUCACAAUGUGGCCAAGUCUCCACUGUCAACAGACAGGAAGCCUGGAACUGAUUUGAGCUGUUCCCCAACCUCAGAUUUCUUAAAAAGGGAACUAAAACAGAGCACCGUGUGAGCCGCAGAAGAGACGAGUCCUGGAGGCAAAGAGGCAGGAGGUUUUACUACAUCAAAGAAGGACAACAGAAGACCAACUAAAUAAACAAGAAGAAAAGAAGAGAAAAUCAGAGAGGUGAUCUCUUUACGUAACAGGUUCGCUGUGACAUUCAUCAUCCUGGUAAUUCAUUCCAUCAAGAAAAGGGACUUGGGGAAACUAAGCUUUUGCCUCAACUGAGCAAAAAAGUCAGAGGGAACAUGUCCUAAUUUUCUACCUUCAUCACAGUGGGCUGAAUCAUUCUUCAGCCAGGGAAGAAGCGAAAGUGAGUGUGGUGUGAGAGAAAGCCAUCCCUUUGCCACUGAAAGAAGCUACAGUCACUAGCUCCCUGCCAGAGUUAGGAGCAGCUACAGCACACAGACCGGCUUAGCGUGAGUCUCUGAGCACAUCCCAGGGCUAAAGGAGCUUGAAUACCCAUCCUAAAAAAGGUCUUGUGAGAGGGAGCCUACAGAAGCAUUUACCAUCAGGAAAAGGGGGCCAUGUAUUUAAAAUGAGAAUAUCCUUGAGAGUCUACACACCCAAAAGGGGUGGUCUCCAUCUUGUCUGAGGAUGCUCCCUGGGAUUCCUUGAGACGCACACUCUGAGUUGAUGGAUGGGCUCACGCCAGCCUCCCCCAACCCUCACUGGGCCUCCCAUCGCCUGUCCUGUCUCCUUUUAUAAGAGCUGGGGUUAGAAAAGACAAAAGAGAAAGAGGCGGCAGGCUCACUCUCGGUGGUGUGUGUUGUAUCCCUGACUGCAAUCUUACCAUGUUUCCAUGGAAAGACACAUCAUCAGUCAAACGUAUAGUAAAAGAACAGAGUAGUACGGAGAUCGUGUCACUAUGGAAUUGGGGGAGGGGAAACUGUGGCUUUUGCUCCUUGUGUCCACUACCACCUUUGCACAGUGUGAAUCGACCCUCUUGGCGCUGACUUCUCCCAAAUACAUAUUGAUAAGAACAGUGAUAUCAUCGGUGAGCAAGGACCUUAACUGAGUUCUGUUCCCUAAGUGCUGGGCCAGCCCUGGCCAGGCAGCAGCACAAACAUUGCAAAGAAUUUUUUCUCAGGAACAGGUUGCUACACUCACCAAAAACAUCAGUUGUAGGUAGAGAGGGAGCUUGCAACAUAGAACUCUGUUUUGCCACUCAAAAAUAUUUCUACCAGCAAAGGAGUGUGGCAUUUCUCUUUCCUGGUAGCCUUUAUGAACCCAAGAAAAGUUUGGA